GACUUGGAGAGGGCGGCCCCGGGUGGGGUUCGUGUGGAGGCAUUUGCUCCUGCGGUGGCCAUCCGUCAGAGAAAGAGGGGUGCUGAACAUGCCCGUCCUUGUCUCCUGAAGCAGAGCAGAACCCGGGAGCGCAGAAUGCAUGAACACGCACAUACACACGUGGAGUACGAGCAGUUAGUACAAUUGUGUUCCGGGGAAAAGGAGUUGGGUUCCUAUCAUAAUUUGCCCACCAUAUGCUUCUGGCUCUGCUAACUGUGGGGCGCAGGUCUGAACUGCAGAACAAAGGACACCAAUGCUGAGCGCGGUCCUGUAUCUGACAGUCCUUAUGUAAGUAAAUCUAACAGAAGAUGGAGAGGAGGUAAAUACUGGAACUAUCAAGAUGCAUCUCCUGUCAAGUGACUAAAGUGCAAUGACUGAAGCUCAGGACUGGAAGUGGUUUGCAUAACCUCUACACCUUCCCUGCAUGAAACAUUCCAGUGCAGCAUAGCUGUGU